rnacentral:snRNA from 1 species
AUCGCUUCUCGGCCUUAAUGGCUAAGAUCAAAAGUGUAGUAUCUGUUUCUUAUCAGCUAAUAUCUGAUACGGUCCGCACUGCGGGCCAGUAUAUUAAACUUAUUUUUGGAAACAGGCGAAGUGUUAGGAGCUUGCUCCACCUUUGCCACGGAUCGGCCCGGUAUUGCAAGUACCGCCGGGAUCGGUUCCAAUAAC